rnacentral:rRNA from 1 species
UCGGGAAUUUUGGGCAAUGGGCGAAAGCCUGACCCAGCAACGCCGCGUGAAGGAUGAAGUUUUUCGGAAUGUAAACUUCGUAAAAAUAGGAAGAACAAAUGACGGUACUAUUUGUAAGGUCCGGCUAACUACGUGCCAGCAGCCGCGGUAAUACGUAGGGACCAAGCGUUGUUCGGAUUUACUGGGCGUAAAGGGCGCGUAGGCGGCAAUUCAAGUCAUCUGUGAAAUCUCCGGGCUUAACUCGGAACGGUCAGAUGAUACUGCUUUGCUAGAGUGCAGAAGGGGCAAUCGGAAUUCUUGGUGUAGCGGUGAAAUGCGUAGAUA